GGAAUCUUCGGAUUCUAGUGGCGGACGGGUGAGUAACGCGUAAGAAUCUAACUUCAGGACGGGGACAACAGUUGGAAACGACUGCUAAUACCCGAUGUGCCGCAAGGUGAAACCUAAUUGGCCUGAAGAAGAGCUUGCGUCUGAUUAGCUAGUUGGUGGGGUAAGAGCCUACCAAGGCGACGAUCAGUAGCUGGUCUGAGAGGAUGAGCAGCCACACUGGGGCUGAGACACGGCCCAGACUCCUACGGGAGGCAGCAGUGGGGAAUUUUCCGCAAUGGGCGAAAGCCUGACGGAGCAACGCCGCGUGAGGGAGGAAGGUCUUUGGAUUGUAAACCUCUUUUCUCAAGGAAGAAGUUCUGACGGUACUUGAGGAAUCAGCCUCGGCUAACUCCGUGCCAGCAGCCGCGGUAAUACGGGGGAGGCAAGCGUUAUCCGGAAUUAUUGGGCGUAAAGCGUCCGCAGGUGGUCAGCCAAGUCUGCUGUCAAAUCAGGUUGCUUAACGACCUAAAGGCGGUGGAAACUGGCAGUCUAGAGAGCAGUAGGGGUAGCAGGAAUUCCCAGUGUAGCGGUGAAAUGCGUAGAGAUUGGGAAGAACAUCGGUGGCGAAAGCGUGCUACUGGGCUGUAUCUGACACUCAGGGACGAAAGCUAGGGGAGCGAAAGGGAUUAGAUACCCCUGUAGUCCUAGCCGUAAACGAUGGAUACUAGGCGUGGCUUGUAUCGACCCGAGCCGUGCCGAAGCUAACGCGUUAAGUAUCCCGCCUGGGGAGUACGCACGCAAGUGUGAAACUCAAAGGAAUUGACGGGGGCCCGCACAAGCGGUGGAGUAUGUGGUUUAAUUCGAUGCAACGCGAAGAACCUUACCAAGACUUGACAUGUCGCGAACCCNNGNGAAAGCUAGGGGUGCCUUCGGGAGCGCGAACACNGGNGGUGCAUGGCUGUCGUCAGCUCGUGUCGUGAGA
rnacentral:rRNA from 1 species